UAGCUGAUGAUUGCUCUUUUUUGGUUGU
rnacentral:piRNA from 1 species